UGUAUAUAAUAUAUAGUAUAUAGUUAUAGUUAUAACAUAUAUGGGUAAAGACAAUCACUUUUACUGACUGAUUCUUAACAUUUUAUUUUAAGUCACCUUUAUGCAGUCAAACGUUGUACACAUGAGACGUUUGUCCAUUUUAGAAGAAGAUGUAUGUAGCGCUUCAAAUGUUUUCCAACCACAAAACUGUACCACCACUAAUGUUAACCCUGUCUAAACGACACAAUGCAUCAAAACCACACAGACACACUCUAAUUUCCAUUGUCAUUAGAACAUACUCGUUUUCUCUAAUUAUUUAAGGCCACCUGCUCAUGACCAUUUUAUUAAUCUAAUUAUCAAUCAGUGUCAACAAAUGAAUCAUUUUCUGGCUGAUAAAAAUGACUCAGGAAUGGGUUUGAUAUUAUUUAUUUAUUUAUUUUGAAGAUAAAAACUUUCUAUGAAUGUAUCGCCCUUUGUACUGUAGAGAAAAACAGAAAUCCUGAUGAAACACUACAAAUUCUUAAAUUCCUGAGUGUUUACUUUAAUAUGAGCUUCAUAUUAACACCACUGUGUAGUGAGACAUGACAUAGACGGUCAAUCAGCAACAUGGACAUGGACACAAUUAAACAGGAGCAAAUUAAUAUUUUUUGACUCCUUGGAACAAUUUAAAUGAUUCACUGUUGAAAUCUCAUUCAUUUAUCUGCAUUUCUGUCUUAUUUGUACUGCAUUCUGCAGUAAAUAUUUCAGACAAAAUCCCUUGAUUCAUGAACAUAAGUCUUUUGUUUGAUAUUUACAGUAGAUCUACAGUAACUGAUUCUCAGCAUACAGAAAUUCAACAUGGUGUGGAGAAUGUCCUGAUAUUAAAUCUCUCACCAAAUCUUUUAUGCUGCACUGGUUAUUUAGUGAAUGACAUAAAGUCCAUUUUUCAUCUAGAAACCUUGUAAAUUUAUUCUUCAUUAUAUCAUUAGCUAAAUAACGCAUUUCAUGGUGUAACAAGGAACAAAACUAAAUUCAGAUCCCCUUUAUUGCUUUACAGCACAUACCACACCUCCCUCUCCCUCAGACAUAAACCAUCAUUUCUUUCACUUAAUAAACAGUUUCCUUUUCUUCUCUUGUCAGACUCACAGCUGCGAUGGGUUUGUUUGUGCUCAUGCCUUUGUUUCUUUGUGCCCUGACUUCACUCUUUGAUAUUAUCUGCUCCUCAACUUUGGAGGCAAAACCAGGAGAAAAUGUCACUAUUUUGAUUGAGGAGAACUUCUCAGAUCACAUCUUCUUUGAAACUCUAGCUUACAUCUCAUGGUUCAAGCACACAGUUGAUUUAGUUCCACUUCUUCUUGGGUGCAAACAAGUUAAAAGAUCGGGUGAAACACAAAAUUGCUACUUCUUUAAUGAAAGUGAGAGAAUAAGGAUGUCAGUUCAUGGCAAGAAAACCUCUCUCACCAUCACUGCUGUAACUGUCUCUGAUACAGGACUGUAUUACUGCAGCUUUAUUAAAUUGUCUGAAAUCAAAUUUUGUAAAUCAGUCUAUUUACAAGUGAAAGGUAAAUUUAUACAAACCCAAUAUUUACAUUUAAACAUCAACUGUAAUGAUAGAGGUUGUAAUACUUAUGUCAUUUUUCAGAGGGAAACAAAACACUCACAAAGGACUUGAACAAAGCAGCAGACUGCAGCUUCUCGAACGUGUUCUUCAUGUUGACUGUAGUGUUUGGUGCAGUGAGUAUGAGUCUUAUCACUAUCCUGAUCUUCAUAAUACUGAAGUACAGAAAAAAACUAACAGGUAAGAUUUUACUGAUAAAUAUACAAUCAACUUCCUUCUAAUGUAAAAAUUAAUACCUCAUCAACAUGUUUGUUUCCUUUGUGAUUUUACUUUAGGUGAUAAUACUGAAGUUUAUGAGGUAAGU